GAUGAACGCUAGCGGCAGGCCUAAUACAUGCAAGUCGAGGGGCAGCAGGGAUAGCAAUAUUCGCUGGCGACCGGCGCACGGGUGCGUAACACGUAUACAAUCUGCCUUUAACUGGGGGAUAGCCCGGAGAAAUCCGGAUUAAUACCCCAUAAUAGUUUUCUUGGCAUCAAGAGAAUUUGAAAGCUCCGGCGGUUAGAGAUGAGUAUGCGACUGAUUAGCUAGUUGGUGAGGUAACGGCUCACCAAGGCGACGAUCAGUAGGGGAUCUGAGAGGAUUAACCCCCACA
rnacentral:rRNA from 1 species